AUCAAAAGCUUUAAGGAAAGCUCUUUGUUUUUUGAAAGGGUGCUUUUAUGAGAUAGAGAUUUUUUAGAUAAUGCUUUUUUAGAUAAUGCUGGGGAAGGUUUUCCGGUUUAUCUCGGAGGGCUUGUAGCUCAGUUGGUUAGAGCGCGCGCUUGAUAAGCGUGAGGUCGGAGGUUCAAGUCCUCCCAGGCCCACCAAUUUACCUAUCCAUUUGCCUUUAUCUGUUUAUUUGCCGAUUUAUCGGUCCAUUGAAUUUAAGUGUUGGUAGCAGUUUUAUAAUGAUGAGAAAUCAUGCUUAUAAAAGAACUCCUUAUAAAAGGCUUGUUUUUAAAAUGUGACGCUUAUCCAUUUCGCUUAGGCAAGAGAAACUUCAAGCGGUUCAAAUACAAAAGGCUUUAAGUUUUGCAAAACACUUUGAAUUUUGCAAAACACUUUGAAUUUUAAAGUGAUCCAAGUUCGUGAUCUCGAAUUUAAAAGUUUCGAAUGCUU
rnacentral:misc_RNA from 1 species